GCUCGAGUGGCGAACGGGUGAGUAACACGUGAGUAACCUGCCCUUGACUUUGGGAUAACUUCAGGAAACUGGGGCUAAUACCGGAUAGGAGCUCCUGCUGCAUGGUGGGGGUUGGAAAGUUUCGGCGGUUGGGGAUGGACUCGCGGCUUAUCAGCUUGUUGGUGGGGUAGCGGCUUACCAAGGCUUUGACGGGUAGCCGGCCUGAGAGGGUGACCGGCCACAUUGGGACUGAGAUACGGCCCAG
rnacentral:rRNA from 1 species